AUGUUCACUUUUUUAAAAGUUUAGUUAAUACUUUAUUUUCUGAAGGAGGCAAAGAUGAUUCUAGUGAACAUAUAAAGAAACGUGGUGGAUUAGGAAAAUUAUUUCGAAGUCUUGGAAGUAAAAAAGAUAAACCUUCUAAUAAACCAGGAAAACCUCAUUUACUUCAUUUAACUCAGAAACCACAUGCUAAAAUUCCUAGGUUGCCAACUGGAAAUGUUUUAUUAGGUGAUGAGGAAAGACUUCAAUUAAUGCUGUUGGUAAGAGAUGGCUUUUUAACAAUGGAACAAGCUGUUCAGAAGAUUCGUCAUAGAGAAGCUGAACGAUCAAAAGAGAAAACAUUACAACAACAAGGAAAAAGUGAGGUAAAAAAUGAAAAAUGUUAUUUUAAUAUUAUUUAUUUAAAUGAAUUUGAAACUUACGCCAAAUAAAUAGCUAAAUUGCAUUUAGCUAUUCCAUUUUACACAAUAAUAAUGAAAUUUCAA